rnacentral:rRNA from 1 species
UACAGAGGGUGCGAGCGUUAAUCGGAAUUACUGGGCGUAAAGCGUGCGUAGACGGUUAUUUAAGUCGGGUGUGAAAGCCCCGGGCUCAACCUGGGAAUUGCAUUCGAGACUGAAUAGCUAGGGUACGGUAGAGGGAAGUGGAAUUUCCGGUGUAGCGGUGAAAUGCGUAGAUAUCGGAAGGAACAUCGGUGGCGAAGGCGGCCUGCUGGGCUGUUGCUGACGCUGAGGCGCGACAGCGUGGGGAGCAAACAGG